rnacentral:rRNA from 1 species
UACGUAGGGUGCAAGCGUUGUCCGGAAUUAUUGGGCGUAAAGAGCUCGUAGGCGGUCUGUCGCGUCGGCUGUGAAAUCCCGAGGCUCAACCUCGGGUCUGCAGUCGAUACGGGCAAACUAGAGUAUUGCAGGGGAGACUGGAAUUCCUGGUGUAGCGGUGGAAUGCGCAGAUAUCAGGAGGAACACCGGUGGCGAAGGCGGUUCUCUGGGCAUGUCCUGACGCUGAGGAGCGAAAGUGUGGGGAGCGAACAGG